GCUUCCCUCUGUGUAAUGAGGGGAAAGCCUGGAUGGUGCAAGGUGUGAUGCAGGUAUCACUGGCAGCAUGUGUGAAGAGGUUCAAGGAGAAAGGAUCCCAGAAAUGAUGGUUUCUUAAGACUGAUGCCCUAAAAAUGACGAAAAGGGAAGCUUAAAGGAAGAUAUUUUGGGAGUGAUUUACAAGGUCUGGGAGCUGCAAAGGAAAGGUGUCAAAAAACUGCAUUCCAGCUAUUUCAUACUCUACUGCGUCUUGACCCAUAAAGAGAUGUUAAAGAACACUUCAGUGCUUGUCAGCUUAUAUACCAUCUUCGGUCUUCAUCUCCUGGUGUGAAUUUAUGUGCAGCAGCAGUAGUACAAGGUAGUUUCUUUCUUAUCUCGAAGGAAGACCACUGUCCAUUUCAUAUGUGCCUUGUGAAGUUUACGAAGGGGGCACAGAGGAAUAUCAAUUUCUCCAGCACUGUCUGCCUUGUUGUGCCAAGCAAGUACUAUCGGAGGAAACAAUGAACUGAACCCUACAACCCUGAGACGACCCAAUACUUGAGGACACAGCAGCCCCUGGCUCUUGUUGUGACAUGACAUUCUCAGUUCGCCUUGUGACCAACCUAAAAGUGCAUUUGAUCACUCAAAACAGCUCUGUAAAGUACAGUAAAUAAAGAGCUCCAUGAAGGAAACUCUAAACACAGAGUAAAACUAGGAUCCCAUUGAGCUUUAGAUAUGAGCAACUGUUCUUUUGUUUUCUGCCUGGUCACUGUAUACUCUAAACACACAAAAGGGACUCCACACAUAACUGUAACCAAAGAUCAUAUUCUCUCUUUUUAAAAAAACAGCCUUUGAAGAAGAGAGG
rnacentral:lncRNA from 11 species